rnacentral:rRNA from 1 species
UACGUAGGGCGCAAGCGUUAUCCGGAAUUAUUGGGCGUAAAGCGUGCGCAGGCGGUUUUGUAAGCCAGAUGUGAAAUCCCCGGGCUUAACCUGGGAAUGGCAUUUGGGACUGCAAGGCUGGAGUGUGGCAGAGGAGACUGGAAUUCCUGGUGUAGCAGUGAAAUGCGUAGAUAUCAGGAGGAAUACCGAUGGCGAAGGCAGGUCUCUGGGCUAACACUGACGCUCAUGCACGAAAGCGUGGGGAGCAAACAGG